AUAUAGAGAGAGAGAGAGAGAGAGAGAGAGAGAGAGAGAGAGAGAGAGAGUUGAGCUGGAAUACUAUAGGUAGCAAACAGGCUCCGUUGCCACCCAUUUGUUUUCGAUGAUGGAGCCUCCAAAUCAACGAUCGAUACCGUUGAAAAUGAUCUAUACCACUUGAAGUAUUUAUAAAUUAAAUUUCAUGCGUUUUCGAUAUUAUUCUCUUGUUCAUCAAGUGGGCGUAAAAAUGAACGGCUAAAAAUGAAUAUUCUUUAAAAUGUGAUGAUAGAAAUUUUGUAAUCAAGAUUGAGGGUAUAGAUCUUGUUCUAAAUAGUUUAAAAAAUUUUCUAACUAAAAUUCAAUAGAUUUGGAUAGCUUUACACCGUUAAACGAAAAAACGUCUCAUAUCGAUCAUUAAAAUUACAAAUGUUGAAACCCUUUGAUCAUUAGGUUAAUGACGUUAAAAAGAUUUGAAAUUUGAUUUCUAGAUAUUUCAAGUAGUAUCGAUCAUGUUCAACGGUGCCGAUCGUCGAUUUGAAGGCUCAUCAUCAAAAAUAAAUGGAUGACAAUGAAGCCCGUUUAUUACCGAUAGCAUUCUAGCUCAACUAUAUAUAUAUAUAUACACACACUAGUAGAAUGUACGUGCAAAUGCACAUAACAAUUAUUAUAAUUUAUUUCAAAUCAAUAUAAAUUUUUACAAUAUAUAUAUCCAAAAUUUUACAAUAAAAAUUAUAUUUAUAAAUUAAUAUAUUAUAUUUUAUUAAAAAAUAUUUAUAAUAUCCUACGGUAUUCUUUUUUUUAUAUACAUCAAAUAUUUUUAUAUACUUUUUUAUUUUUGAUGAAUCAAAUUUAAAUAUGUGUUUUAAACUAAAAGUAUCAAAAUUUAAUUCAUAUUUAUUUUAAAAUUUAAAAUUUAAUUUUGAUCCACUAUAAUAAAAAAAUUAAGUGUUAAUUCAAAUUUGAUAUUAAAAAUUAAAUUUAAUUCAUAAUUUAAACUCAAAUUUUAAUUUUAAUGUAAAAUAGAUAAAUAGGAAUGCUAUUUUCUAAUAAAUUGAUCGUAACCGUUUAUUUUUAUUUGAGAUAAUUUUUAACAAAUUGAUUAUAAUCGUUAGUAGGAUUGAAUUUAUAGAUAGAUAGGAAUGCUAUUUUUUAAUGGAUUGAUCAUAACCGUUUUUAUUUAAUAUAUAUUUUUAACAAAUUAAUCAUAACUAUUUGUAGAUUGAUCAUAAUCGUUCGUUUUUAUUUAAAAUAUUUUUAAUAAAUUAAUCAUAACUAUUCGUAGGGAAUAUUAUUUUAUUUUUUUUGGAUAUAAUAGAUAUUUAAUAGAUGGAUCAUAAUCGUUCAUUUUUAUUUGAGAUAUUUUUAACAAAUUAAUCCUAACCAUUCGUAAGGAAUAUUAUUUUAUUCUUUUUUAGAUUCCGUCUGCCAUUGUCGGAAUUCUUAUACGCUUAUAUAUAUAUAUAUAUAUAUAUAUAUAUAUAUAUAUAUAUAUAUAUAUAUAUAUAUANUUUAACUCUAAGGGUAUAUUUGAAAUAAAUUGGAACGUAAAAAUGGUAUUUUCAACAUUAGCCUUCUAAGAGGGGUAUAUUAAAAAGUCGAAGGCUUUUCAGGGAUAUAUAAACAAUUGUCUCUAAAUUUUAUAAUUUUUU
rnacentral:lncRNA from 1 species